GAUGAACGCUGGCGGCGUGCCUAACACAUGCAAGUCGAGCGAAGCACUUUACUUUGAGAUCUUCGGAAGGAAAAGUUUUGUGACUGAGCGGCGGACGGGUGAGUAACGCGUGGGUAACCUGCCCCAUACAGGGGGGAUAACAGUUAGAAAUGACUGCUAAUACUGCAUAAGACCACAGCACCGCAUGGUGCAGGGGUAAAAACUCCGGUGGUAUGGGAUGGACCCGCGUCUGAUUAGGUAGUUGGUGAGGUAACGGCCCACCAAGCCGACGAUCAGUAGCCGACCUGAGAGGGUGACCGGCCACAUUGGGACUGAGACACGGCCCAAACUCCUACGGGAGGCAGCAGUGGGGAAUAUUGCACAAUGGGGGAAACCCUGAUGCAGCGACGCCGCGUGAGCGAAGAAGUAUUUCGGUAUGUAAAGCUCUAUCAGCAGG
rnacentral:rRNA from 1 species